CCUACGGGGGGCAGCAGUGGGGGAUAUUGCACAAUGGGGGGAACCCUGAUGCAGCGACGCCGCGUGGGUGAAGGAGUGCUUCGGCAUGUAAAGCCCUAUCGGCAGGGAAGAAGCCAGACGGUACCUGACUAAGAAGCCCCGGCUAACUACGUGCCAGCAGCCGCGGUAAUACGUAGGGGGCGAGCGUUAUCCGGAUUCACUGGGGGUAAAGGGAGCGUAGACGGCCAUGCAAGCCAGGGGUGAAAGCCCGGGGCCCAACCCCGGGACUGCCUUUGGUACUGUGCGGCUAGAGUGCGGGAGGGGGAGGCGGAAUUCCUGGUGUAGCGGUGAAAUGCGUAGAGAUGAGGAGGAACACCGGAGGCGAAGGCGGCCGGCUGGACCGGGACUGACGUUGAGGCUCGAAAGCGUGGGGAGCGAACAGGAUUAGAUACCCGAGUAGUC
rnacentral:rRNA from 1 species